rnacentral:rRNA from 1 species
UGGGGAAUAUUGGACAAUGGGCGCAAGCCUGAUCCAGCCAUGCCGCGUGAGUGAUGACGGCCUUAGGGUUGUAAAGCUCUUUCGCACGCGACGAUAAUGACGGUAGCGUGAGAAGAAGCCCCGGCUAACUUCGUGCCAGCAGCCGCGGUAAUACGAAGGGGGCUAGCGUUGUUCGGAAUCACUGGGCGUAAAGGGUGCGUAGGCGGAUUCUUAAGUCAGGGGUGAAAUCCCGAGGCUCAACCUCGGAACUGCCUUUGAUACUGGGGAUCUUGAGUCCGGAAGAGGUGAGUGGAACUGCGAGUGUAGAGGUGAAAUUCGUAGAUAUUCGCAAGAACACCGGUGGCGAAGGCGGCUCACUGGUCCGGAACUGACGCUGAGGCACGACAGCGUGGGGAGCAAACAGG